UUUCAUUAAAGCGAGAGUCUUCUAGUCACAAACAUAAUAAAGUCUCAGACACAGCGGCUGCACAGAAGUGUGUGUUGAUAGCAGAAAGCCUGAGUGAGAUCCCUAGAAGAAAGAUGUGAGCUUCAUUUCAGAACAUCUUCACUGGCAUGAAUUGGAGAAGUUGGGGAGGACUUCCAGCAAGCAUGUCACUCAGGUGUUUGCUCUCUUCAAAAACUACUGGUUACAAGAUUUCCAGAAUGGGUGAUCCAAUACUCACUCAAAGUUGUGCCUGCUGUCAUGCUCUUGGUGCUCUCUGAAUAUGAUUCUAAUUCUCUACCUACUUGUUCCUACUAGGAAGAUCAGUGAGCAUGUGUUUCAAACUGCUGAACUUGGAAGAAUUGAUUUCCAUUUUAUAGCUCUGUGAUGUGUCUGGGGCCAUAUAAAACAUAGUCAAUAAAUUACACAGCUGAUACCCUGA